rnacentral:tRNA from 1 species
GCCCAGGUGGUGAAAUUGGUAGACACGCUAGACUUAGGAUCUAGUGCCUUUGGUGUGGAGGUUCAAGUCCUCUCCUGGGCACCA